GACGAACGCUGGCGGCGUGCCUAAUACAUGCAAGUCGAGCGGACGGAUGGGAGCUUGCUCCCAGACCGUCAGCGGCGGACGGGUGAGUAACACGUGGGCAACCUGCCUGUAAGUCUGGGAUAACUCCGGGAAACCGGGGCUAAUACCGGAUAACUCUUUCCCUCACAUGAGGGAAAGCUGAAAGAUGGCAUCUCGCUAUCACUUACAGAUGGGCCCGCGGCGCAUUAGCUAGUUGGUGAGGUAACGGCUCACCAAGGCGACGAUGCGUAGCCGACCUGAGAGGGUGAUCGGCCACACUGGGACUGGGACACGGCCCAGACUCCUACGGGAGGCAGCAGUAGGGAAUCUUCCGCAAUGGACGAAAGUCUGACGGAGCAACGCCGCGUGAGUGAUGAAGGUUUUCGGAUCGUAAAGCUCUGUUGUCAGGGAAGAACAAGUACCGGAGGAACUGCCGGUACCUUGACGGUACCUGACCAGAAAGCCACGGCUAACUACGUG
rnacentral:rRNA from 1 species